rnacentral:rRNA from 1 species
AGACAGCAGCAGCCACGGGAAUACAGAGGGUGCGAGCGUUAAUCGGAUUUACUGGGCGUAAAGCGUGCGUAGGCGGCUUUUUAAGUCGGAUGUGAAAUCCCUGAGCUUAACUUAGGAAUUGCAUUCGAUACUGGGAAGCUAGAGUAUGGGAGAGGAUGGUAGAAUUCCAGGUGUAGCGGUGAAAUGCGUAGAGAUCUGGAGGAAUACCUAUGGCGAAGGCAGCCAUCUGGCCUAAUACUGACGCUGAGGUACGAAAGCAUGUGGAGCAAACAGGAUUAGAUACCCCAGUAGUCCCUGUCUCUUAUAC